AGAGUUUGAUCCUGGCUCAGGAUGAACGCUAGCUACAGGCUUAACACAUGCAAGUCGAGGGGCAGCAUGGACUCAGCUUUGCUGAGUUUGAUGGCGACCGGCGCACGGGUGAGUAACGCGUAUCCAACCUGCCCUUUACUCCGGGAUAGUCUCCUGAAAGGGAGUUUAAUACCGGAUGUGUUUGUUUUUCCGCAUGGGAGCGACAAAUAAAGAUUAAUUGGUAAAGGAUGGGGAUGCGUCCCAUUAGCUUGUUGGCGGGGUAACGGCCCACCAAGGCAACGAUGGGUAGGGGUUCUGAGAGGAAGGUCCCCCACAUUGGAACUGAGACACGGUCCAAACUCCUACGGGAGGCAGCAGUGAGGAAUAUUGGUCAAUGGGCGAGAGCCUGAACCAGCCAAGUAGCGUGAAGGACGACGGCCCUACGGGUUGUAAACUUCUUUUAUAAGGGAAUAAAGUUCGCCACGUGUGGUGUUUUGUAUGUACCUUAUGAAUAAGCAUCGGCUAAUUCCGUGCCAGCAGCCGCGGUAAUACGGAAGAUGCGAGCGUUAUCCGGAUUUAUUGGGUUUAAAGGGAGCGUAGGCGGGCUUUUAAGUCAGCGGUCAAAUGCCACGGCUCAACCGUGGCCAGCCGUUGAAACUGUAAGCCUUGAGUCUGCACAGGGCACAUGGAAUUCGUGGUGUAGCGGUGAAAUGCUUAGAUAUCACGAAGAACUCCGAUCGCGAAGGCAUUGUGCCGGGGCAGCACUGACGCUGAGGCUCGAAAGUGCGGGUAUCAAACAGGAUUAGAUACCCUGGUAGUCCGCACGGUAAACGAUGAAUGCUCGCUAUGGGCGAUAUAUUGUCCGUGGCCAAGCGAAAGCGUUAAGCAUUCCACCUGGGGAGUACGCCGGCAACGGUGAAACUCAAAGGAAUUGACGGGGGCCCGCACAAGCGGAGGAACAUGUGGUUUAAUUCGAUGAUACGCGAGGAACCUUACCCGGGCUUGAAUUGCAGGUGCAUGAGUCAGAGACGGCUCUUUCCUUCGGGACUCCUGUGAAGGUGCUGCAUGGUUGUCGUCAGCUCGUGCCGUGAGGUGUCGGCUUAAGUGCCAUAACGAGCGCAACCCUUCUCCCCAGUUGCCAUCGGGUAAUGCCGGGCCCUCUGGGGACACUGCCAUCGUAAGAUGCGAGGAAGGUGGGGAUGACGUCAAAUCAGCACGGCCC
rnacentral:rRNA from 1 species